CAGGGAGAGGUAAAUGAUGGAGAGGAAAGAGAAGUUGCGAAGAGAAGCAAGCGGUCCUGUGAAGGUUUGGUGAAUGGGAGAGGAACAGGAGGAAAAAGAGAGGAGGGAAAGGAAUGGCAAAGGAAAACAGGGAAAGGAGUCUGAUCCAACGGUGUCUUGUAUGACAGAGGGGAGAUAUCCUCAGCACCGAUCACCGACAGAUGCACUUUGUGCACAGAACAGACCACACGAAGAUGCAAGCACAGACACGGACUGUCCUCUGACUUGCAAUACAAGAAAAGCACAAAGGAAUUGUUCCAGUUUCCUAAGGAUGCAGAAAUGAGGCGGUAAAAGGGGGCUCGUCCGAGGCUUGCAAGCACAGUGCCGCCUCUUUUUUCAGCCCAGCUGGUAGGAGGGUCUUAAAGCAGCCAAGCAGACGCAGACCAUUGGGCUGCAGCGUUUCCACAACCUGGGAGUAUGCAUGGGAGAGGAGGAGAGGGUUUGGAAAGUGAGAGGCAGAUGGCAACAGAGCGAGCAGUCGAUUCCCCCUACUGGAUGCAAGUGAACCUACCGCC